UGCGUAGGCGGGUCUUUAAGUCAGGGGUGAAAUCCUGGAGCUCAACUCCAGAACUGUCUUUGAUACUGAGGAUCUUGAGUUCGGGAGAGGUGAGUGGAACUGCGAGUGUAGAGGUGAAAUUCGUAGAUAUUCGCAAGAACACCAGUGGCGAAGGCGGCUCACUGGCCCGAUACUGACGCUGAGGCACGAAAGCUGGGGAGCAAACA
rnacentral:rRNA from 1 species